UACGGGGGGAGCAAGCGUUGUUCGGAUUUACUGGGCGUAAAGGGCGCGUAGGCGGUCGUGACAAGUCACUUGUGAAAUCUCCGGGCUUAACUCGGAACGGUCAAGUGAUACUGUCGGACUAGAGUACAGAAGGGGCAACUGGAAUUCUCGGUGUAGCGGUGAAAUGCGUAGAUAUCGAGAGGAACACCAGUGGCGAAGGCGGUCUGCUGGGCGGUGGGACAGCAAUGUCCCUGUGCCGACACUGAGGCGCGACAGCGUGGGGGAGCAAACAGG
rnacentral:rRNA from 1 species